UUCUCAAUAUUGGGAUAUUUAUUGUUCCAGAGUACUUCCUUGAGGCGUGUUACAAUUGUACCAAGUUUGAAGAGGCUGAACAUGAAAAUGAUUUCUGGUAUCAUGCAGCCGCUGCAUAUGAUGAUGACCAAGAAGUUAGUGAACCUCAAGGGCUGCAACAAAAUAUUUAAACAACAAAGGAGAGGGAUUGUUACCUCCUUUAGUAAUGAAGCUCAGUCAAGAAAAUAAGUCAAGAGGAUCAAAUCUGAAGUGAAGCAAGGAUUCAUGAAGGAGGAGGAAGUGUUGGAACUUCCUGAACUACAGAAGAGAACUUGCUGUUAAAGCAGCCUCACAUGCUGCAAAUCGGACCAGAAAAUGAUCACACAACACUAUAAUUCC
rnacentral:lncRNA from 1 species